GGGGAAAUGGCUUAGCAGUUAAGAGCACUGACUGUUCUUUCAGAAGACCUGGGUUCAAUUCCCAGCACCCACA
rnacentral:tRNA from 1 species